rnacentral:lncRNA from 1 species
CUUUGAAAAGGCUCACCUGCACCUUGGUUAAAAGCCCCAAGCUUAUUCCAACAUGCAGUGUCUGUCAGGAAGCUCAAACUGAGAAUAAAAUUCCUCUGUGACCUUACUGCCCACUGAAAUUGCCAGAUGAGUGAAGAAAUGUCAAUUGAAACAAAGAGUGGCUAAAGGGAAAGCCUGUAUUAAUUCAAGUUCUACAGACUCUUACAACAAGUAGGGAAAAGAAUUUUAACCCCGGUGUUCUGAUGAAAUUCCAGACUCUGUAAUUACAUUAGCUCUGAAGUCCACCUGCAGUUUUAAUAUAAAAAGCUGUUCUGCUUCGAGCUGUCGCCUGCCAUGCAGUUACGCUGCUCAGUGUCAAACAGGUGCUGGAGUUCAUCAGACAGGUAAAAGGUGGAACUAAAGAUCAUCAGCCGACUCAUAUGGAGAACUGUGAUGCUGUCUCUUCCAGAGGCUCAUUAGCACUCACUCAGCAAGGUUCCCCAGCUUUGCCUGUACUCUUUCGAAGCAGCAACCAGAUUGCAUUUAGGGACCACCACUAGGGAAGAGAAGAGGGCUGGACUCUUGUCUUGGACUGCCAUCAUGCAGCCUCUCCUGUGUGACAGUAUAAAACAGCAAGGACAAGGGCUGGAUGCUGGUAUUGUCCUAGUACACAGUGAAGCUGUAAAGGUCCACAUUUCUAAAGCAGACUUUAAGGGUGAAUAUAAAAGGAGCAAUAAAUUCAAACCCUACUAUGAAAAUUCUCUUCUAAAAUUAUGGGUUUUGAAAUAUACUACUAAAAAUUCUGCUUAUCCCUGUUCUGUGAACUUAUUAUCUGUACGGUAAGAACUUUGUGAAACUAGACUAGUACUACUUUUGUGCACCAGUACACACAUCCACAUACUCAGUCCUAGGGGAGUGACUAUGCUAUUAAAUGUAUCUAUUAAAGACUCAGUGAAGUUUUCUGAGCUUGUUUUUCCACAAGGUGAGAUGAUAUUUCGGUCUACUGCAAUUUUACUGGAUUGAUUGUCUUCCAAAGGAUCUAUGUCAAAAAAAAAAAAAAAAAAAAAAAAGGCACAAAUGGAACUAUUUCAUUAAAGUUUUCUCACUGUCUGGAUGUAUAGUUGUUUUUGAUCAUUUCAUCUAGGAAGUUGAAGGUGGCAAUCAACAAAUGUAUGGUCUUGGUUCUGAACAAGAAUGGUAAACAAAUGGUUCUGCAGGUUGGUGUGUGAGUUGAAUUAUGGAAGUGUAGUAGAGAUCAGACAUUAGAUACUUUAGUGAAGGUGGUUUGUUUUGAUACAGAUCUUAAUACUAGGUUCAAUUCUAAGUAGAAAGUGUAGACCUUUAUUUCAAAAACUCUCAGACUCCUUUCCAGCUUAAAAGAAAAAACUAACAAACUAAAAACCCUGACAUUGUGACACCUCCUGUGACUUCUGAAAAAUGUCUGUAAAACAGCCGAAGUGAAUUAGAAAAAAUCAAUGCCAACUGGUUGUCCUCACUGAUCUGAUGGGGAAAAAAAAAAGACUUCAGAGGUGCUCUGAUUAAUAAACUGUACAUCUUCACUAAUCA